rnacentral:rRNA from 1 species
CAGGAAAAGGAUUUAAGUCCUACCUUAAGUUUCUUCGUAAUUCUAAUUACUUCACAAAACUUAAGAGCUAUUCAAAUAAGGUACAGCCUAUUUGAAACAGGAUACAACCUACAACAUUGGGUAAUGACUUCUGCUUCAUAAUUAAGUGGGCCUAAGAGCAGCCACCUUUAAAAAAGCGUUAAAGCUUUAUUAUACUAGCACAAUAAUUAUAUUAAUCCCCCAAAACCCUUAUCCCAUACUGAGUGACUUCAUAAUAUUAUGAAAAACCAUAUGCUAGAACUAGUAACAAGAAGAAGACCUUCUCCAAAAUGUACGUAUAGGCCAAAAUGAACAACUCAUUGGCAUUUACCGCUUAUGAACUAACAGUAGUAACUCAACAAGAAAACUCUACUAUCCAUAACGUUAACCUUACACUAGCACAUUCCCGGAAAGAUUAAAAGGAAGGGAAGGAACUCGGCAAAUAAUAACCUCGCCUGUUUACCAAAAACAUCGCCUCCUGAAUAAUUAUAGGAGGUCCAGCCUGCCCAGUGACAAAGUUAAACGGCCGCGGUACCCUAACCGUGCAAAGGUAGCGCAAUCACUUGUUCUUUAAAUGAGGACUAGUAUGAAUGGCAUCACGAGGGUUAUACUGUCUCCCCCACCUAAUCAGUGAAACUGAUCUUCCCGUGAAGAAGCGGGAAUAGAAUUAUAAGACGAGAAGACCCCAUGGAGCUUUAAACUCAACAUCAACUGCCCUCUAAAUAACUUAUUAACCACGCAGAUCUGACAGUUAGUUUUCGGUUGGGGUGACCGCGGAGUAAAACAAAACCUCCACGAUGAAAGGAAUUAACCUCCUAAUCUAAGAGCUACAGCUCUAAGAAUCAACAAAUUGACAAAACUUGAUCCAAAUACUUUGAUCAACGAACCAAGUUACCCUGGGGAUAACAGCGCAAUCCAUUUCAAGAGCUCAUAUCGACAAAUGGGUUUACGACCUCGAUGUUGGAUCAGGGUAUCCCAGUGGCGCAGCCGCUA